rnacentral:rRNA from 1 species
UACGGAGGGAGCUAGCGUUGUUCGGAAUUACUGGGCGUAAAGCGCACGUAGGCGGCUAUUCAAGUCAGAGGUGAAAGCCCGGGGCUCAACCCCGGAACUGCCUUUGAAACUAGAUAGCUAGAAUCUUGGAGAGGUCAGUGGAAUUCCGAGUGUAGAGGUGAAAUUCGUAGAUAUUCGGAAGAACACCAGUGGCGAAGGCGGCUCACUGGCCCGAUACUGACGCUGAGGCACGAAAGCGUGGGGAGCAAACAGGG